AGAGUUUGAUCAUGGCUCAGGACGAACGCUGGCGGCGUGCUUAACACAUGCAAGUCGAACGCACCUUCGGGUGAGUGGCGGACGGGUGAGUAACGCGUAGGUAAUCUACUCUUCAGUGGGGGAUACCCAGCCGAAAGGUUGGUUAAUACCGCAUACGCUCCUGUGCAGAGAGGUACAGGAGGAAAGGUUUACUGCUGAGGAAUGAGCCUGCGUCCGAUUAGCUAGUUGUGGGGUAAAGGCUCACCAAGGCGACGAUCGGUAGCUGGUCUGAGAGGACGAUCAGCCACACUGGAACUGAGACACGGUCCAGACUCCUACGGGAGGCAGCAGUGGGGAAUUUUCCGCAAUGGGCGAAAGCCUGACGGAGCAACGCCGCGUGGGUGAUGAAGUUUUUCGGAACGUAAAACCCUUUCGCCAGGGACGAAGCGAGUGACGGUACCUGGAGAAGAAGCAUCGGCUAACUACGUG
rnacentral:rRNA from 1 species